AGGUCGGUGCGGGGCGACGGGGCGACGGGGCAUCCGGCCCUCCCGGCGCGGGCGCAGGGGGGCCGCCCCAUUGCACGGUCGCGGAGACCGAGGCCCGCGGGGGCCGCGGCUGGCACCAUCGCCGGCGGGGCCCUGGAGACCCCGCCCGAGAGGGGGCGUUUCGGAGCCGGGGUCCCGGAACGUCGCCCGAAAGUGACACACCCAACAGCUGCCCGGGACGGAAAAACCUGAGCACAGGUCCCCAAGCUUCUAGCCUCUCGGCACCCAGGACAGCACGCUCCAGACGCUGAGGAUUCUCUCCAGAAGGUGGCACGGAAGUUGGACGGCUUUCACGUCGGAAAGGUCCUCUCAGGCCUAACUCCGGGGAAUGGUCUCCACCCUCUGCUGCGUCUGUGAGCCACCGCCCAGGUCACCUAGCUAGCUGAGGCUGCAGAGGCAAUGUGACCGAGGUGUCCCCAAACCCCUUCCUCAUUCAGCUACCCCACUCCAGCCCUGACCUGGGGACGGGAGGAGGCUGGGCCCAGCUCCCCACAGCCCAGACUCCUGGAUAGGGCCACACGGCAUUCUAGGCCCUUCCGACUACCCCUGGGCCAGGUUCCCUGUUGUGUGCCAAGCCUGGGACAAGGCUCAUGAAAUAGAAAACCAAGGGGCUCAGGGGCUGUGUUUUCUGCCCAGGGUUCCACAGCCAGAGAGGUGGUAGGACUGAGAUUCGAAGGCAAGCCUGUGGGACUCCUGCUCAACCACGUGGACGGUGAGGGGGUCUUGGUGUGUGGGAGAGGAGGUAGAGACGCUCUGGGGGAGAGCACGGUGAAGGACUGGCGAAGGAUGGCAGGAAAGGACAGGUGUGCAAGUGGCCUGGGCCUGAGAAGAUACACCAUUGAUUUUGAAGAAAAGAGAGGAAGGAAAGAGGACUGACAGAAGAAACUUGCAGACAAGGGGGUGGAAGGAAGGCCGCCAGAGGCAGACCCGGGGAGGUUGGAAGUCGCUGACCCCACGGAGCCUUGUGUAUUCUCUUUACACACCACCUGGUCAUUUACUCACUUACCAUUCCUCUGCCCGCAGGAAUGCGUGCUGUUCCCACUGGAGCCAAGCCUGGGGGUGGCUGCUAUUUAAAACAAAACGAAAGCAAACCCAGAAAAUGUAUAUUGGCAAGGAUACGGAAGAAAUGGAAAUCCUUGUGCCCUGUUGGUGAGAAUAUAAAAUGGAGUAGCCAUCAUGGAAAACAGUACGGCAGUUCCUCAAAGAAUUAAAAUGAACUUAUCAUGUGAUCCAGUAACCUCCCUUCUGGGUAUAUAUCCAAAAGGACUGGAGGCAGGGUCUUUUUUUUAUUUUCCUUAAGAUUUUAUUUAUUUAUUUGACAGAGAGAGACACAGCCAGUGAGAGAGGGA